UUAAUCCUACGGGAGGCAGCAGUGGGAAAUAUUGCACAAUGGGCGAAAGCCUGAUGCAGCAACGCCGCGUGAAGGAAGAAGGGUUUCGGCUCGUAAACUUCUAUCAACAGGGACGAAAGAAAUGACGGUACCUGAAUAAGAAGCCCCGGCUAACUACGUGCCAGCAGCCGCGGUAAUACGUAGGGGGCAAGCGUUAUCCGGAAUUACUGGGGGUAAAGGGUGAGUAGGCGGCAUGGUAAGCCAGAUGUGAAAGCCUUG
rnacentral:rRNA from 1 species